UCCCUGGUGGUCCAGUGGCUAGGAUUCUGCACUCCCAGGGCAAGGGACUGGGGUUCGAUCCCUGGUCAGGGAA
rnacentral:tRNA from 1 species